rnacentral:tRNA from 1 species
GGGCCCAUAGCUCAGUGGUUAGAGCAGGGAGCUCAUAACUCCUUGGCCGCUGGUUCGAUCCCAGCUGGGCCCA